GCUUUCUGGGCUGCCAGCACACAUUGCCAGAUCAUGUUGAGCUUCUCAUCCACCAACACCCCCAAGUCCUUCUCCUCAGGGCUGCUCUCCAGCCAUUGAAAUGGACUGAGAAAUGAAAUUAAAUCAUCACAGAAACACAUUAACCAAAUACUUAAGUAGGUUCACUGUGAUUUUUGUCACGUAAGUCUCUCUGACUUCAGGCCCAACAGGUGCUUGGUGGUUCUUGAGGAAAGCUGAAUUUCUGGCAGUUGUUACAGGGGUUGUAGCUACUGUAGCAUUUUAAGAAAAACAGGGCUGCAGUAACUCCCACUAGUUCUGGAUGGAUAGAGAAUCCUCAAGACUUGCUUAAGUAAGAAGCAGGUGGUUGGUCGCUGGCUUGUUUUUCCUUCCAGUGUCACUAUGCUUAGUAAAAAUUCCUUCUUAUUUCUUCACAGAAUCAGUUUAAAAAAGACUACAGAGCAAGAUUCUGCCAUGGAGGAGGAACUAAGAUUGAUGUACGACCAGGUCAAAAUGUGCUGGAACUCAUAGAGAAUUGUUUCCAAAGUUGUGGUAGUGAUCUUACAAUAAAUUCUCCAAGUACGAGUCUUUAUUGCUCAACUCCUGUUGUCGGGAAAAGGAGGAUUUCAGUACAGAGCCAAAGGGUGAGUGAGUUAUGGCAGUGUCACAACAUAACAUUGGGUACAUUUUCACUUGGGUACAAGUCUAGUUCUGUAGGAUUUAUUGAAUUAAUUGAAUGAAUAAGCUCCAUAUGUCACUUGUAUUAGUAUAUAGCUAUAAUUUAACCUUCUGUUGUCAGUAAUGGUUUUUUUGUUAGUUUGUUGUGCUCUAAUAGUAAAUGUUCUAUAACUAGAUUUAUUAAAAAGCUUAUUUUCUUGGUUUGUUGGUUUUUUUUUUUUGUUUUUUUUUUUUUUUUUUUUUUUUUUUUUUUUUUUUUGGCUAAUGAAGGCUUUUUCAGCUUUUUGUCCAGGACAGUUAAAUUUCUCAUGGUCUCAGGUUGAAGCAUGCUGCCUUAUAACUGGUGGUGGGUAUGGCUGUCUUGGACUCCACU
rnacentral:lncRNA from 1 species